rnacentral:rRNA from 1 species
UACGGAGGGUGCAAGCGUUAUCCGGAUUUAUUGGGUUUAAAGGGUGCGCAGGCGGCCUAUUAAGUCAGUGGUGAAAUCUUACAGCUUAACUGUGAACGUGCCAUUGAUACUGGUAGGCUUGAGUGCGGUGAAGGUAGGCGGAAUUCCUCAUGUAGCGGUGAAAUGCAUAGAUAUGAGGAAGAACACCGAUAGCGAAGGCAGCUUACUGUACCGUUACUGACGCUCAUGCACGAAAGCGUGGGGAGCGAACAGG